rnacentral:rRNA from 1 species
GUCGAACGAAGCGCCCGCGCGGAUUCCCUCGGGAUGAAGCGCGGAUGACUGAGUGGCGGACGGGUGAGCCACGCGUGGGCAACCUGCCCCGUGCCGGGGGACAACAGCCGGAAACGGCUGCUAAUACCGCAUGAUCCGGGAGGGCCGCAUGGCCCUGCCGGGAAAGCUCCGGCGGCACGGGAUGGGCCCGCGUCUGAUUAGUUUGUUGGCGGGGUAACGGCCCACCAAGACUGCGAUCAGCAGCCGGCCUGAGAGGGCGGCCGGCCACAUUGGGACUGAGACACGGCCCAGACUCCUGCGGGAGGCAGCAGUGGGGAAUAUUGCACAAUGGGGGAAACCCUGAUGCAGCGACGCCGCGUGGGCGACGAAGCGCUCCGGCGCGUAAAGCCCUGUCAGCAGGGAAGAAAAAAGACAGUACCUGACCAAGAAGCCCCGGCUAACUACGUGCCAGCAGCCGCGGUAAUACGUAGGGGGCAAGCGUUAUCCGGAUUCACUGGGCGUAAAGGGAGCGCAGGCGGCACGGCAAGUCUGGUGUGAAAGCCCGGGGCCCAACCCCGGGACUGCAUUGGAAACUGCCGGGCUGGAGUGCCGGAGGGGUAAGCGGAAUUCCUGGUGUAGCGGUGAAAUGCG